GGCUGGCUAGUUCAGUGGUAGAAUACGUGCUUUGGGAGUACGUGGUCCUCGGUUCGACCCCGAGGUCAGCCC